rnacentral:rRNA from 1 species
GACGAACGCUGGCGGCGUGCUUAACACAUGCAAGUCGAACGGAAAGGCCCUGCUUUUGUGGGGUGCUCGAGUGGCGAACGGGUGAGUAACACGUGAGUAACCUGCCCUUGACUUUGGGAUAACUUCAGGAAACUGGGGCUAAUACCGGAUAGGAGCUCCUGCUGCAUGGUGGGGGUUGGAAAGUUUCGGCGGUUGGGGAUGGACUCGCGGCUUAUCAGCUUGUUGGUGGGGUAGUGGCUUACCAAGGCUUUGACGGGUAGCCGGCCUGAGAGGGUGACCGGCCACAUUGGGACUGAGAUACGGCCCAGACUCCUACGGGAGGCAGCAGUGGGGAAUAUUGCACAAUGGGCGGAAGCCUGAUGCAGCAACGCCGCGUGCGGGAUGACGGCCUUCGGGUUGUAAACCGCUUUCGCCUGUGACGAAGCGUGAGUGACGGUAAUGGGUAAAGAAGCACCGGCUAACUACGUGCCAGCAGCCGCGGUGAUACGUAGGGUGCGAGCGUUGUCCGGAUUUAUUGGGCGUAAAGGGCUCGCAGGUGGUUGAUCGCGUCGGAAGUGUAAUCUUGGGGCUUAACCCUGAGCGUGCUUUCGAUACGGGUUGACUUGAGGAAGGUAGGGGAGAAUGGAAUUCCUGGUGGAGCGGUGGAAUGCGCAGAUAUCAGGAGGAACACCAGUGGCGAAGGCGGUUCUCUGGGCCUUUCCUGACGCUGAGGAGCGAAAGCGUGGGGAGCGAACAGGCUUAGAUACCCUGGUAGUCCACGCUGUAAACGGUGGGUACUAGGUGUGGGGUCCAUUCCACGGGUUCCGUGCCGUAGCUAACGCUUUAAGUACCCCGCCUGGGGAGUACGGCCGCAAGGCUAAAACUCAAAGGAAUUGACGGGGCCCCGCACAAGCGGCGGAGCAUGCGGAUUAAUUCGAUGCAACGCGUAGAACCUUACCUGGGUUUGACAUGGAUCGGGAGUGCUCAGAGAUGGGUGUGCCUCUUUUGGGGUCGGUUCACAGGUGGUGCAUGGCUGUCGUCAGCUCGUGUCGUGAGAUGUUGGGUUAAGUCCCGCAACGAGCGCAACCCUUGUUCACUGUUGCCAGCACGUUAUGGUGGGGACUCAGUGGAGACCGCCGGGGUCAACUCGGAGGAAGGUGGGGAUGACGUCAAGUCAUCAUGCCCCUUAUGUCCAGGGCUUCACGCAUGCUACAAUGGCUGGUACAGAGAGUGGCGAGCCUGUGAGGGUGAGCGAAUCUCGGAAAGCCGGUCUCAGUUCGGAUUGGGGUCUGCAACUCGACCUCAUGAAGUCGGAGUCGCUAGUAAUCGCAGAUCAGCAACGCUGCGGUGAAUACGUUCCCGGG